GACGAACGCUGGCGGCGUGCUUAACACAUGCAAGUCGAACGCUGAAGCUCAGCUUUUGUUGGGUGGAUGAGUGGCGAACGGGUGAGUAACACGUGAGUAACCUGCCUCCUUCUUUGGGAUAACGCCCGGAAACGGGUGCUAAUACUGGAUAUUCACUGGUCUUCGCAUGGGGGUUGGUGGAAAGGGUUUUUCUGGUGGGGGAUGGGCUCGCGGCCUAUCAGCUUGUUGGUGGGGUGAUGGCCUACCAAGGCUUUGACGGGUAGCCGGCCUGAGAGGGUGACCGGUCACAUUGGGACUGAGAUACGGCCCAGACUCCUACGGGAGGCAGCAGUGGGGAAUAUUGCACAAUGGGCGCAAGCCUGAUGCAGCGACGCCGCGUGAGGGAUGGAGGCCUUCGGGUUGUGAACCUCUUUCGCUCAUGGUCAAGCCGCGACAAUGGUUGUGGUGAGGGUAGUGGGUAAAGAAGCGCCGGCUAACUACGUG
rnacentral:rRNA from 1 species